GGCCAUUUUCAAUGGGAUUUUGGGGCCAUUUUCAGUGGGAUUUUGGGUCCAAUCUCAGCGAUUUCAGGGCCAUUUUCAACCCGAUUUUGGUGCUAUUUUCAAUGGGAUUUUGGCCAUUUUUGCCACAAUUUGGGGCCAAUUGUGAGCGGACCGGUGCCCCUCACCGCAGGGCGCGGCUCAGCUUGUCGUAGUUCAUGUGGGGCUUGCACUUGCGCGCGCCCCACAGCCGCGCCACCUCGUCGGGGUCCUUGAUGACGAACUCGCCGUAGUCGCCCUGCCAGGCGAUGACGUGCCGGUAGCGCUCCUGGCGCAGCAGCUCCAGGAUGAAGUGCCACAGCUGGAUCUGCCGCGAGCCGGGGCUCGACUCCGCCUUGUACGCCCACUCCGGGAACGCCAGCCCUAUGGGGAGGGCAGAUGUGGGGCUG
rnacentral:lncRNA from 1 species